rnacentral:rRNA from 1 species
UACGAAGGGGGCUAGCGUUGCUCGGAAUCACUGGGCGUAAAGCGCACGUAGGCGGUCUUUUAAGUCAGGGGUGAAAUCCUGGGGCUCAACUCCAGAACUGCCUUUGAUACUGGGAGACUUGAGUCCGGGAGAGGUGAGUGGAACUGCGAGUGUAGAGGUGAAAUUCGUAGAUAUUCGCAAGAACACCAGUGGCGAAGGCGGCUCACUGGCCCGGUACUGACGCUGAGGUGCGAAAGCGUGGGGAGCAAACAGG